GGAGGUGGCCGUCCAGAGAGUUGCCAUGACACGUUGCUCGCUCUAAGACGUAACUGUGUGAGGCCCUGGCUCCAGCCUGCCAGGCACAGCUGGGCAGCUGCUGCCAACCAUCCUGUGUGCUGUGUCACCCACGCCCCUGCCUGGAGAGCGGCCUUGGCCCUGCGGGGACUGUCCUAUUAUUCCGAGGCCCCAUUGUUCCUGGCCCAGUGAGGCGCCCCAGGAAAGCGAAAGGCUCGGCAAGAGACAAUUUUCCAGGAAAUGGGAUUUGGCUGCCGAAGAAGGAGCAGAAGAAAGGGAGCUGCCGGGAAGGGGGCAGACAGUAGAGGUCCUACAGAUUCAGCCUUCCUCCCCAGGGGCUGGAUCUGGCUUCUCCGGAGACCAAGUGCAGGCGGUUAACUCCCCAAGGGGCCAACUUUGACCCUGGCUGGAGGAGCCUUCCCAGCCCCCUUCCCACAGAGGGGAGUUCUGCCUGGCGUCUGCGCAGCCUGCCUGCUGUCUGGAGGCGUCCUGGGCACCGGGCUGGGCCUCUGUGUGAAUGGGGGGGAGGGACGGAUGGCAUGGCAGCCGGUGCCUGUGCUGGUGCGUGUGGAUUUGCUGCCCAUCCUGCCCGCCGGCCUGCUCUCUGGCUGCCUGGGUCACACCUGGAAGGAGGGGUUAGCACUGAAGCUUUGCCCCAGAUUGUUUUCUAGAGCAUCUGGGCCGAGUCAGCAUCUGGAAUCCAAUAGAGCAGAAUUCCGCUCCCACGUUACCUCGCCGGAUUCCCUCGUUUGACAGAGCAGCUGAGGCCCAAAGAGAUUUAGUGGUUCCCCAAGUUUACAGCUAGUUAGUGGGGAAGCUAUGCCUAUUCAUUACUUUAACGAAUAAUUAACGAGCACCUACCGUGUGUGUACAGGCAUUAUUUUAGUCAUUG